UCCAUGCCUUCUUCCCCAGCUGGAUCCUCCAGGGGCAGCAGCAGUUUCAAGUGUAAAGAUGUCACUUCUUCGCAGAAAAAGCCCAUGGUCCCACCUGGCCACUGCUGGCUGCCCUUCCAGCCAGGGAGGAAACCUGAAUACCCCACCAGAUCUGCUCAUCUUCUUCACGGAGUCAACAGGGUUUCCAGAUUACUUUUGAAGUGAAAAGCUCACAAGAAUCUUGGUGAAUUUUAGCACUUUCUGCAAUGUCAUUCCAGUGAAUAUCCAGUAUUAUCCUUAGGCAAUGGCUCACAAAGGAAUUCAGCAAAUCCCACUUGAGCUGUAAGACACAUUUAUCAAGACUGAAGUAAA